UUCACCUUCAUCACACCAAAAGAACCACCUCUUCACCCUCAUCAUCACACCUAGAGAACCACCUCUUCACCCUCAUCAUCACACCUAGAGAACCACCUCUUCACCUUCAUCACACCUAGAGAACCACCUCUUCACCUUCAUCAUCACACCUAGAGAACCACCUCUUCACCUUCAUCAUCACACCUAGAGAACCACCUCUUCACCUUCAUCAUCACACCUAGAGAACCACAUCUUCACCCUCAUCAUCACACCUAGAGAACCACCUCUUCACCUUCAUCAUCACACCUAGAGAACCACGUCUUCACCUUCAUCAUCACACCUAGAGAACCACCUCUUCACCCUCAUCAUCACACCUAGAGAAUCACCUCUUCACCUUCAUCAUCACACCUAGAGAACCACCUCUUCACCUUCAUCACACCUAGAGAACCACCUCUUCACCCUCAUCAUCACACCUAGAGAAACCCCCUCUUCACCUUCAUCAUCACAGCUAGAGAACCACCUCUUCACCUUCAUCACACCUAGAGAACCACCUCUUCACCUUCAUCAUCACACCUAGAGAACCACCUCUUCACCUUCAUCAUCACACCUAGAGAACCACCUCUUCACCCUCAUCAUCACACCUAGAGAACCACCUCUUCAUCACACCUAGAGAACCACCUCUUCACCUUCAUCAUCACACCUAGAGAACCACGUCUUCACCUUUAUGUUGAUGCCCUGCUUUGUGUCCGACAGGAAGUGGUUCUCCCAAACUGAACCCGACUCCCAAACCUCCGGUGAGGGACGUGCAGUUGUUGAAGGAGCUGGGUCCAGGUUUAGGUGAGAUCAACGUCAUCCAGCAGCUCCUGGAUCAGGGGGCGGACCCUUCCUGCUGCAGCAGCACUGGCCAGCACGCUCUGGCGGUGGCUGUGGUGAACGGUCACCACGACAUACUUCCUGUUUUAGUGCAGCGCGGCGCCGACGUGAACCAGCAGUCUGGACGGAUGAAGAACACGGCUCUGCAUGAAGCUGCAGCUCUGGGAUCUGAAGGCCUGAAGGGUGCUCAGGUCCUG